rnacentral:rRNA from 1 species
UACGGCGGCCAUAGCGGAGGGGAAACGCCCGGUCCCAUUCCGAACCCGAAGCUAAGCCUCCAGCGCCGAUGGUACUGCACUCGACAGGGGGGGGAGAGUAGGACACCGCCGAAC